rnacentral:rRNA from 1 species
CCUACGGGAGGCAGCAGUGGGGAAUAUUGGGCAAUGGGCGCAAGCCUGACCCAGCAACGCCGCGUGAAGGAAGAAGGCUUUCGGGUUGUAAACUUCUUUUGUCAGGGAAGAGUAGAAGACGGUACCUGACGAAUAAGCCACGGCUAACUACGAGCCAGCAUCCGCGGUAAUACGUAGGUGGCAAGCGUUGUCCGGAGUUACUGGGUGUAAAGGGCGUGUAGCCGGGUUGACAAGUCAGAUGUGAAAUCCUGCGGCUUAACCGCAGAACUGCAUUUGAAACUGUUGAUCUUGAGUACUGGAGAGGCAGACGGAAUUCCUAGUGGAGCGGUGAAAUGCGUAGAUAUUAGGAGGAACACCAGUGGCGAAGGCGGUCUGCUGGACAGCAACUGACGGUGAGGCGCGAAAGCGUGGGGAGCAAACAGGAUUAGAUACCCUUGUAGUC